UAAGGAAUAUUGCGCAAUGGGGGAAACCCUGACGCAGCAACGCCGCGUGGAGGAUGACACUUUUCGGAGCGUAAACUCCUUUUAUCAGGAAAGAAUAAUGACGGUACCUGAUGAAUAAGCACCGGCUAACUCCGUGCCAGCAGCCGCGGUAAUACGGGGGGUGCAAGCGUUACUCGGAAUCACUGGGCGUAAAGGACGCGUAGGCGGAUUAUCAAGUCUUUUGUGAAAUCUAGUGGCUUAACCACUAAACUGCUUAGGAAACUGGUAGUCUAGAGUAGGGGAGAGGUAGAUGGAAUUCUUGGUGUAGGGGUAAAAUCCGUAGAGAUCAAGAAGAAUACCCAUUGCGAAAGCGAUCUGCUGGAACCUAACUGACGCUGAGGCGUGAAAGCGUGGGUAGCAAACAGG
rnacentral:rRNA from 1 species